rnacentral:ncRNA from 1 species
AGAGUAGGCGUGGUGCGUCAAGUGCCUUGGGAUGGGAGGUCGCCCAAGGACGAAGGAAAGUCGAUCUUUCCGCGGUACCCCGUCGCAGCCGCU